rnacentral:rRNA from 1 species
UACGUAGGCAGCGAGCGUUGUUCGGAGUUACUGGGCGUAAAGGGUGUGUAGGCGGUUUUCUAAGUUUGGUGUGAAAUCUCCCGGCUCAACCGGGAGGGUGCGCCGAAAACUGGGAGACUAGAGUGCGGGAUGGGAGAGUAGAAUUCCUGGUGUAGCGGUGAAAUGCGUAGAUAUCAGGAGGAACACCAAUGGCGAAGGCAGCUCACUGGGACGAUACUGACGCUGAGACGCGAAAGCGUGGGGAGCAAACAGG